GCCAGCGUACUCUCCGGAGUGACGGGUACACUGUGGGGACCGCCGGCUGCUAAAGCGGAGGAAGGAAUGGGCAACGGUAGGUCAGUAUGCCCCCGAAUAUCCCGGGCUACACGCGAGCUACAAUGGUUGGUACAAUGGGUAUCUACCCCGAAAGGGGACGGGAAUCUCCUAAAACCAAUCUUAGUUCGGAUUGAGGGCUGCAACUCGCCCUCAUGAAGCUGGAAUCCGUAGUAAUCGCGUUUCAACAGAACGCGGUGAAUACGUCCCUGCUCCUU
rnacentral:rRNA from 1 species